AUCUCUGCUAUCCCAGGGAACAGAUUUGGCUAGGGAACAACGCAAGGGUGACAUUAUGGAGCUCUUCAGCCAGGCUCAACGGAAUAUCCUGUCCCUAAACAAGCAGCGGCUUCUGGCCAUGGAGGAGCUGAAGAAACUGCAAGAUGAAAAUAAAUCGCUUCUUCAGGAAAUAGAAGUGCUAGAAACGGAAGUGCAAGGUGUCCCUCUAGAAGCAGUGCAAUCAUCAACAUUCUGUGAGUUACUCCUGCGAAUAGAUACAAUGGUUGUUUCUGGAAUGAUC